GAAAAUUCCCAUUUCUUUUGCUAGGUCUUGUUAGCUGCCAUCUCUGGGAAGGAGAAAGUGUUUUUAUAGAUAGGCAUGGCAAGGACAAAUAAUGGAGCUGAAAUGCAAGGGUGGAUGGCAAAUAAAUUGCAUCUUGUGAACUACCUCCAACUAACUUCUGCCUGGAGCACUGUGUUUAAAAGGAUUCCUAGGCCACAUCUGGAGGGAUCCGGGAAAAAAAAAAAACAAAAGAGAUGUAACGAAGGUCCGUGGAAGAGUUGUCUUCAAGAAAACUGCUCUCUGGUGCCAAAACGUUUGGGGACCGCUGGUGUAAAUGUUUCUAAGAAUAGUUAAGCAACUUAAGCUUCACAUGCUACGAAGAAUACAGCUUUAAAUGCUAAUAAAAAUAGGUGCAAAUGAAAACACUCUUUCUGUGGUCCAGGGAAUCUUAACCAUUCUAUCAGAAAGACUUGCAGCUUGGAGCUGCAGCUGCCCUCCCACAUCCUGUCCACUGUAAAGCCCUGCAACACACACAUACACGCG
rnacentral:lncRNA from 1 species